UUACUUUCGCGUAGGCCGUGUGGGAGAAUGACGUAAGAUCGCACAAUAGUAAUGUGCCUGCGCAUGUUGCGAAUAAGACAGUGACAAUUAAUUCCUAUAGACAGAAUAUUUAGUUUGCUUUUUGUAAAAAAGAGUGAGAGAGAGAUUUGAUACCAUGAGCAAUGAAGGGUUUGACGAUGCAUCUUUACAGAGAUCACCACAUGGGGCUGAGACCCAGCCUCUCUGUAUGAAGAGGGAGGACUACCUGGAGUGGCCUGAAUAUUUUAUGGCGGUUGCCUUCCUGUCAGCUCAAAGAAGCAAGGAUCCAAGCUCACAGGUCGGCGCCUGCAUUGUGAGUCAAGAGAACAAGAUAGUGGGGAUUGGGUACAACGGGAUGCCCAAUGGGUGCAGUGACGACCUGCUCCCCUGGAGCCGUGAAGCCUCUGACAAGCUGAACACCAAGUACCCCUACGUGUGCCACGCUGAGCUGAACGCCAUCAUGAACAAGAACUCCUACGAUGUCAAGGGCUGCACCAUGUACGUGGCCCUGUUUCCCUGCAACGAAUGUGCUAAGCUCAUCAUCCAGGCAGGAGAAGUUGUUCAGCUUUUCCUCUCCAUGCUGUGGGGGCUGGAGCUCCGUGAGGGCACUCCCUUCAUUAGGAAGCAGUUUGUCAGUGCAGCACCCCCCCUUGAAUCCACCGGCAUGUGUCCAUUAUAAAGGCGUCUUGUAUGCUCACCAGACGCAACAAACAAAGUGCAUGUUUUUGAAAAUUAUGGCUCACCCCACACUGGGCAGGUCUGCUCGGGCUACGGGUGCCGCAUCCCGCUUCGUUCGGUGAUCGGCGCCGUUCAGCCUGCCGCACGGGCUUCCUGAACAGACAGAUCGGAGACCCAUGCCUCCGCACUCCGUACGGGCCGACGGGAGGCCUCCUGGGAGGGGGGACGCCCAACCAUUCUGCAGAGCUCUCCACGUUACCAUUUGGUGUUUGCUUUUGAACCCUAAUGGAAAAAAAUGGGUUUCGGUAAGCCAGCGCUCUGCGAUUAAUUGCCUGCCAUUAUUAAUGUAGCAAUACAGCUUAUGAAGCGGCUUGAUACAGAUAGUUUUGUGCAGUUUACCUGCUGUUUUGAUGAAGGCUCAUACUCGGCUGAAAAAGAUUAGUCAUCGGUAUGACGCUGCACAGCUUUGGAGUGACAUUCAUUAUAUCACACCCCCCGCAUUCAUAAAUGCACCUGCUCAUUUUAUUUAUUUAUUUUUUAAGAUUAAGCUUUUACUGUUUUUCCAGGCACGAGUUUAUUGAUUUUCUGUACUUAAUUGAUGUAUGUUCAUGUAGAAAUGUACUCGAGUUAUAAUUACAAAAAGCUUUAUUAUUCGUUU